UACGUAGGGUGCGAGCGUUAAUCGGAAUUACUGGGCGUAAAGCGUGCGCAGGCGGUUUUGUAAGCCAGAUGUGAAAGCCCCGGGCUCAACCUGGGAAUGGCAUUUGGGACUGCAAGGCUUGAGUGCGGCAGAGGAGACUGGAAUUCCUGGUGUAGCAGUGAAAUGCGUAGAUAUCAGGAGGAAUACCGAUGGCGAAGGCAGGUCUCUGGCUGGACACUGACGCUCAUGCACGAAAGCGUGGGGAGCGAA
rnacentral:rRNA from 1 species